GUCGAGGGGUAGGGAGACUUCGGUUUCCUGAGACCGGCGGAUGGGUGAGUAACGCGUAUGCAACCUACCUUUCACAGGGGAAUAGCCCGGAGAAAUCCGGAUUAAUGCUCCAUGGAUUAUUUAGAUGGCAUCAUUUAAAUAAUAAAGAUUUAUCGGUGAAAGAUGGGCAUGCGUAUCAUUAGCUAGUUGGUGUGGUAACGGCAUACCAAGGCAACGAUGAUUCGGGGUCCUGAGAGGGAGAUCCCCCACACUGGUACUGAGACACGGACCAGACUCCUACGGGAGGCAGCAGUGAGGAAUAUUGGUCAAUGGAGGCAACUCUGAACCAGCCAUGCCGCGUGCAGGAUGACUGCCCUAUGGGUUGUAAACUGCUUUUAUACAGGAAGAAAUGUAUCUACGCGUAGAUAUUUGACGGUACUGUAGGAAUAAGGAUCGGCUAACUCCGUGCCAGCAGCCGCGGUAAUACGGAGGAUCCGAGCGUUAUCCGGAAUUAUUGGGUUUAAAGGGUUCGUAGGCGGCCUUAUAAGUCAGGGGUGAAAUCUCUCAGCUCAACUGAGAACUUGCCUUUGAUACUGUAUGGCUUGAAUAAUAUUGAAGUAACUAGAAUAUGUAGUGUAGCGGUGAAAUGCAUAGAUAUUACAUGGAAUACCAAUUGCGAAGGCAGGUUACUAAUUAUUUAUUGACGCUGAUGAACGAAAGCGUGGGUAGCGAACAGGAUUAGAUACCCUGGUAGUCCACGCCGUAAACGAUGGAUACUAGCUGUUUGAUUUUCGGAUUGAGUGGCUAAGCGAAAGUGAUAAGUAUCCCACCUGGGGAGUACGUUCGCAAGAAUGAAACUCAAAGGAAUUGACGGGG
rnacentral:rRNA from 1 species